AUGCGUAGGGGGCGAGCGUUGUCCGGAAUGAUUGAGCGUAAAGGGCGCGUAGGCGGCGCGGUAAGUCUGGAGUGAAAGUCCUGCUUUCAAGGUGGGAAUUGCUUUGGAUACUGCCGCGCUUGAGUGCAGGAGAGGUUAUCGGAAUUCCCGGUGUAGCGGUGAAAUGCGUAGAGAUCGGGAGGAACACCAGUGGCGAAGGCGGGUAACUGGACUGCAACUGACGCUGAGGCGCGAAAGUGUGGGGAGCAAACAGGAUUAGAUACCCUGGUAGUCCACACUGUAAACGAUGAAUGCUAGGUGUAAGAGGUAUCGACCCCUUUUGUGCCGGAGUCAACACAAUAAGCAUUCCGCCUGGGGAGUACGGCCG
rnacentral:rRNA from 1 species